rnacentral:lncRNA from 1 species
AAACCUGGGUCCUCUACAAGAGCAGCCAGUGAUCAUAACCCCUGGGCCAUCCCAGGCCCCUAGGGUGUUUUGAUAAGUGCUAGUUUACUGUCCUCCCCAAGGUUCUGAUGGGCAUUUUCAGUGGCUUUCAGGUCUCAAUUGAACCUGAAGAGAGCUAAUGUGGUGUUUUCUCCUCCCAGGAAAGCGGGCCUGUGUUGGUGAGAGUUUGGCCCGGAUGGAGCUCUUCCUGUUCUUCACCACCCUUCUGCAAAAGUUUUCCCUGAAGACUCUGGUGGAGCCCAAGGACCUUGACAUCAAGCCUAUUACUACCGGGAUUAUCAAUUUGCCGCCACCUUACAAGCUGUGCCUUGUUCCUAGAUAAGGGUUUAUCCUUCUAAUCAUUCAAAUCAAAGUAAUUGUUUCCUUUUUCUAUAAAUAUUCUUUUUAUGCUAAGCACUGCCUAGGCCAGAAACAUCAUGCAUGAAAACCACAUGGACAUUUAUUUCGAUUUAAAAAUCUAGGUCUUAAAAGCUUCCAGGACACAGGCAGUGUGUCUGUGUCCCUCAACUGCUCUAGAAACCAGGCCCCAAGCACAACUGACACCAGAUAUGCAAGACCCUCAUCAGACGCCACCUACAAGUAGCACUGUGUGCUCUUCUGUAGCUUUGGAAAUAGAAUUGUUUUCUGUCAUUGUUUCAAUAGAGAAAUUAAUGUAAUGGCCUACGUUCAUUUUCCUGUUCACACUUAAAAACAUUUACAUGAUUUGUGCCACAUUCACA